rnacentral:rRNA from 1 species
AAACAAACGACUCUCGGCAACGGAUAUCUCGGCUCUCGCAUCGAUGAAGAACGUAGCGAAAUGCGAUACUUGGUGUGAAUUGCAGGAUCCCGUGAAUCAUCGAGUUUUUGAACGCAAGUUGCGCCCGAAGCCAUUAGGCCGAGGGCACGCCUGCCUGGGCGUCACGCAUCGCGUC